GACGAACGCUGGCGGCGUGCUUAACACAUGCAAGUCGAACGGAAAGGCCCUGCUUUUGUGGGGUGCUCGAGUGGCGAACGGGUGAGUAACACGUGAGUAACCUGCCCUUGACUUUGGGAUAACUUCAGGAAACUGGGGCUAAUACCGGAUAGGAGCUCCUGCUGCAUGGUGGGGGUUGGAAAGUUUCGGCGGUUGGGGAUGGACUCGCGGCUUAUCAGCUUGUUGGUGGGGUAGUGGCUUACCAAGGCUUUGACGGGUAGCCGGCCUGAGAGGGUGACCGGCCACAAUGGGACUGAGAUACGGCCCAGACUCCUACGGGAGGCAGCAGUGGGGAAUAUUGCACAAUGGGCGGAAGCCUGAUGCAGCAACGCCGCGUGCUGGAUGACGGCCUUCGGGUUGUAAACCGCUUUCGCCGGUGACGAAGCGUGAGUGACGGUAAUGGGUAAAGAAGCACCGGCUAACUACGUG
rnacentral:rRNA from 1 species